AACAAAUACGGUAUUUUCGUCGGAAAAUUUUACUCUAAAAAUAGCCAUGUAAAGGGACGAAACUCUUGAUCUCCUUGAAGAGCUUGGCGUAAAGGUAAAUAAAAACAUGUUGUGACGUAAUGCGGAAGUGAUAUCGGUUGCUUGAAAAAUGGAUUUUUGUCAAAUUACAGUGAACAAGUUAUUGUGAGAUAGUCUGAUUACUUUGGAGCUGCCAGAUUGUGUAUGAAAUCCUGAAAAAAGUAUUUCAACCCACAGAAACUUUACCUUACCAAAUUGUAGGACCAGACAUUGUGAGAAAGUUUGAUUGCAUUCAAGAGCUGCCAGAGCUAAAGCUAGAAAAGAAACUAAACAACUUCUUCUCAUGAUUUGCUUAAUUGAUCUUCACAUUGAAUUGUCAACCUGUAUGCUACAUUGUAUAAUGACGUUGAGCAAAUAAAGAUACUGCAGUCAGCGUUACAACCUUCAUUAAACAGAAUGAAUUGGUGUUACAGAAAUGGAUAACAUAUGGAGACAAACACUUUCAGGCUACAGAAACUACACAUUGUUUGAGACUAUGAGAAUGGCUUAUUUUCAUGAUGGAACUCAUACCACAAAGAAAGAACUUGCUUUAUCUUAUUUCUUAUAACUAGUCCUCAAAGACAUACCCAAGUAAACUACAACAGGAAUGAAAGCAAACAAAGUUGAUUCAGGAUUUAGAAUUGAAUGUUUUUGUGUCAACAGUGUGUGAAAACUGCGGAAAAUAGGAUUUUAAUUUCAAGGAUUUGAUUUAGUAUGUCAAGGAGUGAUUUGUUAGCUCACCUGUCACAAAGUGACAAGGUGAGCUUUUGUGAUCGCGCGGUGUCCGCCGUCCGUCCGUCCGUAAACUUUUGCUUGUGACCACUCUAGAGGUCACAUUUUUCAUGGGAUCUUUAUGAAAGUUGGUCAGAAUGUUCAUCUUGAUGAUAUCUAGGUCAAGUUCGAAACUGGGUCACGUACCUUCAAAAACUAGGUCAGUAGGUCUAAAAAUAGAAAAACCUUGUGACCUCUCUAGAGGCCAUAUAUUUCACAAGAUCUUCAUGAAAAUUGGUCAGAAUGUUCACCUUGAUGAUAUCUAGGUCAAGUUCGAAACUGGGUCACGUGCCAUCAAAAACUAGGUCAGUAGGUCUAAAAAUAGAAAAACCUUGUGACCUCUCUAGAGGCCAUAUAUUUCACAAGAUCUUCAUGAAAAUUGGUCAGAGUGUUCACCUUGAUGAUAUCUAGGUCAAGUUCGAAACUGGGUCACGUGCCGUCAAAAACUAGGUCAGUAGGUCUAAAAAUAGAAAAACCUUGUGACCUCUCUAGAGGCCAUAUAUUUCACAAGAUCUUCAUGAAAAUUGGUCAGAAUGUUCACCUUGAUGAUAUCUAGGUCAAGUUCGAAACUGGGUCACGUGCCAUCAAAAACUAGGUCAGUAGGUCAAAUAAUAGAAAAACCUUGUGACCUCUUUAAAGGCCACAUUUUUCAUGGGAUCUGUAUGAAAGUUGGUCUGAAUGUUCAUCUUGAUGAUAUCUAGGUCAAGUUUGAAACUGGGUCACGUCGAUCAAAAACUAGGUCAGUAGGUCUAAAAAUAGAAAACCCUUGUGACCUCUCUAGAGGCCAUAUAUUUCAUGAGAUCUUCAUGAAAAUUGGUCAGAAUGUUCACCUUGAUGAUAUCUAGGUCAAGUUCGAAAGUGGGUCACGUGCCAUCAAAAACUAGGUCAGUAGGUCAAAUAAUAGAAAAACCUUGUGACCUCUCUAGAGGCCAUAUUUUUCAUGGGAUCUGUAUGAAAGUUGGUCUGAAUGUUCAUCUUGAUGAUAUCUAGGUCAAGUUUGAAACAGGGUCAUGUGCGGUUAAAAACUAGGUCAGUAGGUCUAAAAAUAGAAAAACCUUGUGACCUCUAGAGGCCAUACUUGUGAAUGGAUCUCCAUAAAAAUUGGUCAGAAUGUUCACCUUGAUGAUAUCUAGGUCAAGUUUGAAACUGGGUCACGUGCCUUAAAAAACUAGGUCAGUAGGUCAAAUAAUAAAAAAACCUUGUGACCUCUCUAGAGGCCAUACUUUUCAUGGGAUCUGUAUGAAAGUUGGUCUGAAUGUUCAUCUUGAUGUUAUCUAGGUCAAGUUCGAAACAGGGUCAUGUGCGGUCAAAAACUAGGUCAGUAGGUCUAAAAAUAGAAAAACCUUGUGACCUCUCUAGAGGCCAUACUUGUGAAUGGAACUCCAUAAAAAUUGGUCAGAAUGUUCACCUUGAUGAUAUCUAGGUCAAGUUUGAAACUGGGUCACGUGCCUUAAAAAACUAGGCCAGUAGUUAUAAAAAUAGAAAAACCUUGUGACCUCUCUAGAGGCCAUAUUUUUCAUGAGAUCUUCAUGAAAAUUAGUGAGAAUGUUCACAUUGAUGAUAUCUAGGUAAAAUUCAAAACAGGGUCACCUACCUUCGAAAACUAGGUCAAUAGGUCAAAUAAUAGAAAAACCUUGUGACCUCUCUAGAGACCAUAUUUUUCAAUGGAUCUUCUUGAAAAUUGGUCAGAAUUUUUAUCUUGAUAAUAUCUAGAUCAAGUUCAAAACUGGGUCACAUGAGCUCAAAAACUAGGUCACUAUGUCAAAUAAUAGAAAAAACGACGUCAUACUCAAAACUGGGUCAUGUGGGAAGAGGUGAGCGAUUCAGGACCAUCAUGGUCCUCUUGUUUUUAAUUCAUCACACAAGUUAUUGACAAUGCUCUAAAAUAUAAAUAGGAUGUGUAAAUACAGACUUUCAUACCUAACUGAAGUAAUGUUGAACUCAACAGAAUAAACAAACAAACAAACUAUCAUUUUAAAAAGCUAUUGUAUAAUAUAUUACUUGAUUUAUACAACUUUGUCAGUUUUGUUACAUUACUUAUCAUUGAUAGAAUCUAUUAUCUAAUAACUCUUUACAGUGUGUCAAGUACUCAUCAUUAUAAGCUAUUUUGAAAUAAUUACAGGACUGAUAUUUUACUGGUAUUAGUUAAAUGUGUUGUUAUUAGACCCCUUAUAUUUGAAAGUGAGUUUUCUUUAUACAUACAGGAUUCUGCUAUUCCGUCUGUCGGCUAGUCCAGUCUGUCAGAUCUUUGUCCAGAAAUUACAUUUGAAAUAAAAUAUAGCAUCAUUUUCA